UACGUAGGGGGCAAGCGUUGUCCGGAUUUACUGGGCGUAAAGAGCGUGUAGGCGGCCAAGCAGGUCCGUUGUGAAAACUGGAGGCUUAACCUCCAGACGUCGACGGAAACCGCGCGGCUAGAGUCCGGAAGAGGAGAGUGGAAUUCCGUGGUGUAGCGGUGAAAUGCGCAGAUAUCAGGAAGAACACCAAUGGCGAAGGCAGCUCUCUGG
rnacentral:rRNA from 1 species